rnacentral:rRNA from 1 species
GUGGGGAAUAUUGGACAAUGGGCGAAAGCCUGAUCCAGCCAUGCCGCGUGUGUGAAGAAGGUCUUCGGAUUGUAAAGCACUUUAAGUUGGGAGGAAGGGCAGUAAGUUAAUACCUUGCUGUUUUGACGUUACCGACAGAAUAAGCACCGGCUAACUUCGUGCCAGCAGCCGCGGUAAUACGAAGGGUGCAAGCGUUAAUCGGAAUUACUGGGCGUAAAGCGCGCUUAGGUGGUUUUGUAAGUUGGAGGUGAAAUCCCCGGGCUCAACCUGGGAACGGCCUCCAAAACUGCAUGACUAGAGUACGGUAGAGGGUAGUGGAAUUUCCUGUGUAGCGGUGAAAUGCGUAGAUAUAGGAAGGAACACCAGUGGCGAAGGCGACUACCUGGACUGAUACUGACACUGAGGUGCGAAAGCGUGGGGAGCAAACAGGAUUAGAUACCCGGGUAGUCC